UCAUAACAAAUGACAAAUUCCAUUUCGGAUUGUGAAGAAUUCACAAUUAUUCAAUAAUAUUUUUGCAUAGAUAAAUAUUUGAUAUUUUAUUGAAAUGUAGAACUACCAAAUAAUUAUUAAAUUCAUACUAAUCAAUAGAUUUAUUGGUAGUUACUACAAUUUUGAUGAGAAGAGUUGAAGCUAGGGUUGUGCCAGGCGAGCAGCUGCAGCCAGGGCAUCAUGGCAGCACCUUGGGUCAAAAUUGAACUCAUGAUCGCAGCAUCUGGGCAGACCAUAUGCAUGGCUUCCUUUCAACAAAGCCAUGGCAACCAUUACUAGUAAAGCGAAAAAAACCAUCUUCUUCAUAACCAAACCUUCCAUUUCAAUACUCCUAAUUCACUAUUCGUAUUUCACACUCUC
rnacentral:lncRNA from 1 species